rnacentral:rRNA from 1 species
CCUACGGGUGGCUGCAGUGGGGAAUCUUGCACAAUGGGGGAAACCCUGAUGCAGCGACGCCGCGUGGAGGAUGACGGAUUUAGGUCUGUAAACUCCUUUUGCAGGGAAAGACUUAGGACGGUACCCUGAGAAUAAGGACCGGCUAACUACGUGCCAGCAGCCGCGGUAAGACGUAGGGUCCGAGCGUUGUCCGGAUUUACUGGGCGUAAAGAGCGCGUAGGCGGUCUGUUAAGUGUGAAGUGAAAUCUCCAGAGCUCAACUCGGAAACUGCUUUACAUACUGGCAGACUUGAGGAAUGCAGAGGUGAAUAGAAUUCCUGGUGUAGCGGUGAAAUGCGUAGAUAUCAGGAGGAAUACCCAUGGCGAAGGCAGUUCACUGGGCAUUAUCUGACGCUGAGGCGCGAAAGCGUGGGUAGCAAACAGGAUUAGAUACCCUAGUAGUC